rnacentral:piRNA from 1 species
UUUAGAAAUUCUGAUUGAAUU